CGAUGGGUCAGCAUCAGUUUCGACCGAGGGAAAAAGACAUUUGGAAUGUGGCUGUCUUCGGGCAGUGUUAUAGCCUUGUGUUGUAUGUCUCGGUUGGGACUGAGGAUUGCAGCGCGCCUUAUGGCCGGGGGUCGCUCCUCUCGACACGCGCUUAGGAUGCUGGCAUAAUGGCUUUAAGCGACCCGUCUUGAAACACGGACCAAGGAGU
rnacentral:rRNA from 1 species